GCGCGCGCUCGCUCACAGCGCCUCUCCAACGCUGACCAACUUACAAGAUGAACUCAGCGCAGCCAACCUACAGUUGUAAAACAAUGUACCCAAGCCAAUACAUACUUCAGAAUAAAAUUGAAGCACAUUUAUACAAAAAUAGAAAAAAUCCUCCUGAUCCUGGUGAGAAGAACGGUAUGUAUUAUUUUACCCACCCUGUGUGUGUGUGUGUGUGUGUGUGUGUGUAAUAGACUGCUGACAUUCCAAAACAUUACAUCAUUUUACAGUAAAAGGGGAACAUUGCUACUACAGCCCCUGAAGGCAGCCCAGCUGUCUACUUAGCAAACGGACACCAGACUGUUUUUCUCAGAUUGCAUAACAUACACAGGAGGAGCAACCAAACAAUUUCUUGAACUACAAACAGUUAAGCUAUGCAUUAAAGGUUCCACGGCUUGCGCGAAUACCGCAAGGUGUGAUGCUGAAAACACAAGCCGAGGAGAAUAAAACCUCUCGCAUUCUCGGAACUGCAAACACUCAUCACUACACAAACGUUACCCCGCAGUUAAAUGAAUGUAAUAAACUUUAUUUGAAUAAAAAAAAAAAAAAAAAA